rnacentral:snRNA from 1 species
AGCUUUGCACACUGGCAGUAUCAUAGCCAAUGAGGUUUAUCUGAGGCACAAUUAUUGCUAAUUGAAAACAUUUCCCAAUACCCUGCCAUGAAGACUUGCAAUAUAAUUGACAUUAGCAAUUUUUGACAGUCUCUAUGGUGA